rnacentral:rRNA from 1 species
CGGAACGUGCCUAGUAGUGGGGGAUAACUACUCGAAAGAGUAGCUAAUACCGCAUGAGAUCUACGGAUGAAAGCAGGGGACCUUCGGGCCUUGUGCUACUAGAGCGGCUGAUGGCAGAUUAGGUAGUUGGUGGGGUAAAGGCUUACCAAGCCUGCGAUCUGUAGCUGGUCUGAGAGGACGACCAGCCACACUGGGACUGAGACACGGCCCAGACUCCUACGGGAGGCAGCAGUGGGGAAUUUUGGACAAUGGGCGAAAGCCUGAUCCAGCAAUGCCGCGUGCAGGAUGAAGGCCCU